rnacentral:ncRNA from 1 species
GCCAGAAGAGGCGCGUCAUUCAGGUAAAGUGUCAGAGGAAUCGGUAUCCGAAGAAGACACUCUAGGGGAUAUGACGCCGAGGCGAUUUUCCUACCGAAUGGGAAUGUCGUCGACCACAAGGGCUGAAUCCCUUGGGUUGUCACCAAUGUACUCCGCAGACAUAUUGCGGAAAGUAGAACCCGCGCCGCGAUUGCGUUUCGCAGUAAAAGGUUCUGGCAAGGUGGGGCGCUUCUGGGU